rnacentral:rRNA from 1 species
AGUUUGAUCAUGGCUCAGAUUGAACGCUGGUGGCAGGCCUAACACAUGCAAGUCGAGCGGCAUCGAGUGAUCGCAGUUUACUGAGUUCAUGUCGGCGAGCGGCGGACGGGUGAGUAAAGUCUGGGAAUCUGGCCGAAGGAGGGGGAUAACUGCUGGAAACGGCAGCUAAUACCGCAUGAAGUCGCGAGACCAAAGUGGGGGACCUUCGGGCCUCACGCCUUCGGAUGAGCCCAGAUGAGAUUAGCUGGUAGGUAAGGUAAAGGCUUACCUAGGCGACGAUCUCUAGCGGGUCUGAGAGGAUAGCCCGCCACACUGGAACUGAGACACGGUCCAGACUCCUACGGGAGGCAGCAGUGGGGAAUAUUGCACAAUGGGCGAAAGCCUGAUGCAGCCAUGCCACGUGUGUGAAGAAGGCCUUCGGGUUGUAAAGCACUUUCAGCGAGGAGGAAGCGAUAAAUGCGAAUACCAUUUAUUUUUGACGUUACUCGCAGAAGAAGCACCGGCUAACUCCGUGCCAGCAGCCGCGGUAAUACGGAGGGUGCGAGCGUUAAUCGGAAUAACUGGGCGUAAAGGGCAUGUAGGCGGUGAGUUAAGUCAGAUGUGAAAUCCCCGAGCUCAACUUGGGAAUGGCAUUUGAAACUGGGUCGCUAGAGUUUUCUAGAGGGGGGUAGAAUUCCAGGUGUAGCGGUGAAAUGCGUAGAUAUCUGGAGGAAUACCGGUGGCGAAGGCGGCCCCCUGGAGAAAGACUGACGCUGAGGUGCGAAAGCGUGGGGAGCAAACAGGAUUAGAUACCCUGGUAGUCCACGCUGUAAACGAUGUCGAUUUGGAGGUUGCGGUCUUGAACUGUGGCGUCCGGAGCUAACGCGUUAAAUCGACCGCCUGGGGAGUACGGCCGCAAGGUUAAAACUCAAAUGAAUUGACGGGGGCCCGCACAAGCGGUGGAGCAUGUGGUUUAAUUCGAUGCAACGCGAAGAACCUUACCUACUCUUGACAUCCACGGAAUUGUGCAGAGAUGCGCAAGUGCCUUCGGGAACCGUGAGACAGGUGCUGCAUGGCUGUCGUCAGCUCGUGUUGUGAAAUGUUGGGUUAAGUCCCGCAACGAGCGCAACCCUUGUCCUUUGUUGCCAGCGCGUAGAGGCGGGAACUCAAAGGAGACUGCCGGUGAUAAACCGGAGGAAGGUGGGGACGACGUCAAGUCAUCAUGGCCCUUACGAGUAGGGCUACACACGUGCUACAAUGGCGUAUACAAAGGGAUGCGAACCUGCGAGGGAAAGCGGAACUCAGAAAGUACGUCGUAGUCCGGAUUGGAGUCUGCAACUCGACUCCAUGAAGUCGGAAUCGCUAGUAAUCGUAGAUCAGAAUGCUACAGUGAAUACGUUCCCGGGCCUUGUACACACCGCCCGUCACACCAUGGGAGUGGGUUGCAAAAGAAGUAGGUAGCUUAACCGCAAGGAGGGCGCUUACCACUUUGUGAUUCAUGACUGGGGUGAAGUCGUAACAAGGUAACCGUAGGGGAACCUGCGGUUGGAUCACCUCCUUAACUAUAAACUCUCACUAUCAGUGUCCACUCACAUUAUCUGAUAAAUCAUGAAAAAAGACGCUGUCCCCUUCGUCUAGAGGCCUAGGACACCGCCCUUUCACGGCGGUAACAGGGGUUCGAACCCCCUAGGGGACGCCACAGAGAUGUGUUCAAAACUAUCUUAAAAACAGCUUCAGUGUUUUCAAGAAAUUGCUCUUUAAAAAUAAGGGAUAAGCAAGAGAUUGUAAGUCAGAAACAAUUUCGGGUUGUAAGGUUAAGUAAUGAAGCGUACAGGGAGGAUGCCUAGGCAGUCAGAGGCGAAGAAGGGCGUGUUAAUCUGCGAAAAGCGACGGUAAGCUGAUAAAAAGCGUGUUAGCCGUUGAUACCCGAAUGGGGCAACCCAGUGCAGAAUAUGCACUAUCGUAAUAUGAAUAAAUAGUAUUGCGAGGCAAACCAGGGGAAUUGAAACAUCUCAGUACCCUGAGGAAAAGAAAUCAACCGAGAUUCCCUAAGUAGCGGCGAGCGAAAGGGGAGGAGCCCGGAGUCACCAUCUUUGCGCAAUUAGGGGAAUCGUUUGGGAAGACGAGCCAUAGAGGGUGAUGGCCCCGUACCUGAAAAUUGCAGCAGAGUGAGCUCGAAGAGUAGGACGGGACACGUGAUAUCCUGUUUGAAGAUGGGGGGACCAUCCUCCAAGGCUAAAUACUCCUGACUGACCGAUAGUGAACCAGUACCGUG